UUUAACUAAUAUGGAACUUUGAAAUUAUAAUUAAUUUAUAAGAAUGACUUUCAAUUUUAUAAGUGAUAGGGGAUGACAAUAUAUAAUAUAGAUUUAAAUAAUGAUGGGAUAGAACUAGGAAUUUAACGUAUACUUGUUUUUUAUUCUUAAUUAGAAUAAAAUGGAAUUUGUUCUGUUGUAAACAUCGCCGGAAUUCAAUGGAAUUCGAUAUAUACAUUUUGAUUUCCAAAUUUGGCAUUCAAUGGUAUUCAUUUUAUUGUCAGAAUAGACGGAAAUCAAUGGAAUUCAAUACGGAAAUUUUUAAUUCCUAACUUGACAUUCAAUGGUAUUCAUUUCAUUGUCAGAAUAGACGGAAUUCAAUACGGAGAUUUUUAAUUCUUAAUUUGGCAUUCAAUGGUAUUCAUUUCAUUGUCAGAAUAGAUGGAAUUCAAUACGAAAAUUUUUAAUUCUUAAUUUGGCAUUCAAUGGUAUUCAUUUCGUUCACGGAAUCAAUGGUAUUCAAUGGAAUUCAUGAUGAAACUUUCCAAUCCCUAACUUGGCAUUCAGUGGUAUUCAUUCCGUUAUGUUUUUUGUGUCGUAAUUGGAUGGGAUUCAAGAAAGACAAAUUCUUUCCGAAAUAAAGAAUUCCAUGGUAUUAAAAACCAUUUCAAUCCCUUUUUUUGACAAAAUGGAAUUCGGAAAGUUCUUAAUUGAAUUUCUGGCAAUCCCAUUCCAAUUCUUUUCAAUCUUUUUUCGUUUGCUGGGUUACAUGUUAUUCUCACGUUAUAUUGCAUUUAUAUUUGGUGUUUGCUGGGGAAUGUUCCCAGAAUCAUCAAAUGUCCCCUAUAAUAUUUGGAAUAGUGCAUAAAUAUUAUAGGUACAUAAGAUAAAAAUAUUCAUAGAAUAUAUAAUGUAGAAUAGUAGAAUAUUCAGACAUAUGUAGAAUAUUCGAGGAAUUGCUACGAAUAUACCGUCAUGCGUAUGUACGCAUCGCACUAUUUGUGCGCGCGCAUCAGCUACUACAUCGGUAAUUGGUUGAUAAACGCGACGUUUGCGUUCACGUGUCUACAAGCUCGUAUUGCGCAUGAAUAUCGACGCCUCAUUGGCUGAGUGUGUGCACGUGAUACGGGCUGACAAGAAACGCAGCCUGUGUACGUAACGUACCUGCGGCCAUUAUUGCAUUGCAUUACAUCGUGCAUAUUGCGUAUUGCGUGCGGCGAACGUGUUGACUCGGUGGCCCUGCUAAAACAGUACAUGAAAUCCAUGUUUUCACGUGGAAUUCACGUUUUUAUUUAGAUUCUACGUAGAUUCAACGUGGAUAUCCUGUACUGUUUUACAGGAUGCUUGAUAAUAUAAAGCUCGUAGAAGAGAUCGACCGCGUGUAUGGAAAGAGCGAUUCAUCAAAGCUCAGGGAUUCUUUACACAGCGUACUGUUUAUUAAGUUUACAGCAAGACCUCUUUCCAUUCUACGCAGAUUCAAUGUGGAUAUCAUAUACUGUUUUACUGGAUGCUGGUUGUUUGAUAAAGCUCGUGGAAGAGAUCGACCGUGUGUGGAAAGAGUGGUUCAUCAAAGCUCAGGGAUUCUUUACACAGCGUACUGUUUAUUAAGUUUGUAGCAAGACCUCUUGCCAUUCUACGCAGAUUCAACGUGGAUAUUGUAUACUGUUUUACUGGAUGCUGGUUGUUUGAUAAAGCUCGUGGAAGAGAUCGACCGUGUGUGGAAAGAGUGGUUCAUCAAAGCUCAGGGAUUCUUUACACAGCGUACUGUUUAUUAAGUUUGCAGCAACACCUCUUUUUGUGUUAAAGGUUUAAUUAUGUUACGCCACAAGAAAGAUACUAGAGAUUAUACAAAAAGACAUGAAAGACGAUUGAUAAAUCGAAUAGCGUCACAGACUCUUGAUACAGCAUUUGAUGAAGCGAGAAAGAGGCCAUGUAUCGCAGCAUGGAACAGUAAUGAAAAAACGGUUGAGAAAGAUAUCUCUGAAGAUAAUAGAUCACCCCCUUUCCAAAUCCAAAAUAAGCUUCAUGAUGAGCAAAAUAUAUUGCAAAGCACAGGCACAAAGUCCAAAAAAGAUAUAAAUUGUUAUACAACGGAACAUUUGUGUAUGGAUAUACAAUCUAAUGAUGAGCAAAAAAGUUCCGAAGAAUCUUAUAGUCUGAUUAAAAGUAAUGAUGUUAAUAUUUGUGGUGAUAUUGCCACUUGGGCUGUAAAUAAUGGAAUUAGUCAUUCUUCUUUGGAAAACUUAUUGAAACUUUUGAGGCAUCCAAAUAGAUUCCCACAAUUACCAGCAAAAGCCAAGACAUUAUUUGGAAAUCCUAUAAAUGGUGAAACUAGAUAUGUUGAACCGGGUUAUUAUUGGCAUAACGGUUUAAAAGCAUGUUUGAAUAAGUUAGCAGAAGAAAAUUACUGGGAUGAAUCUGUGGAAACUCUUCUUCUCUCUAUCAACAUUGAUGGACUUCCGUUGUUUAAGUCUUCUGGUAGUUGUGUGUACCCUAUUUUGGGUUCAAUUUUUUGUUCUGAACGAAUAUUUUUAAUUGGAUGUUACCAUGGAUAUAAAAAACCGCAAGACUUCAAUAAUUUUUUACAAGAUUUUGUGGACAAAACAAAGGAUUUAAUAACAACUGGCUAUAAUUACCAAGGAAAAACAAUUAAAAUUGAAAUUUAUAAUUUAAUUUGUGAUGCUCUAGCAAAAGCAGCUGUGUUAAAUGUCGUGUCGCAUACUGGUUAUUACAGUUGCACAAAAUGUACUGUGAAAGGAAAUAGCAAAUUAAAUCGUGUUUACUUCACGAAUACACAAGCGAUUUUAAGAUCAAAUAGAGAUUUCUUGAUGCAAACUCAAAAGGAGCAUCACAGAGAUUAUAUGAUGGCAAAGGAACUGAAGCAAUUUGUUAUAUGUCUCUUUGACAUAGGCUUACAUCUUGUGCCGAAAUUAUGGUUUAUGCCUGAUUCUUUGGAAUCUGUACUGUUUCCGUCGUACAAAACUGAAAUGCGAAUCAUGAAAGCUAUUAAAAACAAGGAAAUACCACAAAAUAAUGACUUUUGGGAAGUCCACCAAGUAAAACGCAUCAUGGGAUCUGAUGUCAAAUAAAGAAAAUCUGGGAGCGUCUCCUAUAGAUCCCCUGCGGAUUUCUACACCUGUAGAUCAGGUCAUAGAUGAAAAUAUGUCCUCCGAUAAUGAUAUUUCUAUUGUUGACGAUAACGUUGAUGAUAACGUUCUUUUGCAAAGAACUGAUGAAAUUUUGGAUAAAAUAGGAAAAACCGCGUGUGAAGUGGAGAGAAAACGAAAACUUAUCACUAAUCUGGAUUUGAACGAAAUAAAUUUAAAUGGAUUGAUAGAAGUUUUGAAGAAACUUUU
rnacentral:misc_RNA from 1 species